rnacentral:piRNA from 1 species
UGAACUGUAUUGGGAAAAUGUGUUUUCUGC